UCCCAGGUUGCUCAGUGGGUAAAGAACCUGCCUGCCAAGCAGGAGACGCCGGAAAUAUCGGUUCGAUUCCUGGCUUGGGAA
rfam:Ovis aries breed Texel chromosome 5, whole genome shotgun sequence.